rnacentral:rRNA from 1 species
ACUGAAUACAUAGGUGCAAGAGGCGAACCAGGGGAACUGAAACAUCUAAGUACCCUGAGGAAAAGAAAUCAACCGAGAUUCCCUUAGUAGUGGCGAGCGAACGGGGACUAGCCCUUAAGCUUCUUUGAUUUUAGCGGAACGCUCUGGAAAGUGCGGCCAUAGUGGGUGAUAGCCCUGUACGCGAAAGGAUCUUAGAAGUGAAAUCGAGUAGGACGGAGCACGAGAAACUUUGUCUGAAUAUGGGGGGACCAUCCUCCAAGGCUAAAUACUACUGACUGACCGAUAGUGAACUAGUACCGUGAGGGAAAGGCGAAAAGAACCCCGGAGAGGGGAGUGAAAUAGAUCCUGAAACCGUAUGCGUACAAGCAGUGGGAGCCCACUUUGUUGGGUGACUGCGUACCUUUUGUAUAAUGGGUCAGCGACUUAUUUUCAGUGGCGAGCUUAACCGAAUAGGGGAGGCGUAGCGAAAGCGAGUCUUAAUAGGGCGUCUAGUCGCUGGGAAUAGACCCGAAACCGGGCGAUCUAUCCAUGGGCAGGUUGAAGGUUAGGUAACACUGACUGGAGGACCGAACCGACUACCGUUGAAAAGUUAGCGGAUGACCUGUGGAUCGGAGUGAAAGGCUAAUCAAGCUCGGAGAUAGCUGGUUCUCCUCGAAAGCUAUUUAGGUAGCGCCUCAUGUAUCACUGUAGGGGGUAGAGCACUGUUUCGGCUAGGGGGUCAUCCCGACUUACCAAACCGAUGCAAACUCCGAAUACCUACAAGUGCCGAGCAUGGGAGACACACGGCGGGUGCUAACGUCCGUCGUGAAAAGGGAAACAACCCAGACCGUCAGCUAAGGUCCCAAAGUUAUGGUUAAGUGGGAAACGAUGUGGGAAGGCUUAGACAGCUAGGAGGUUGGCUUAGAAGCAGCCACCCUUUAAAGAAAGCGUAAUAGCUCACUAGUCGAGUCGGCCUGCGCGGAAGAUGUAACGGGGCUCAAACCAUACACCGAAGCUACGGGUAUCACGCAAGUGAUGCGGUAGAGGAGCGUUCUGUAAGCCUGUGAAGGUGAGUUGAGAAGCUUGCUGGAGGUAUCAGAAGUGCGAAUGCUGACAUGAGUAACGACAAUGGGUGUGAAAAACACCCACGCCGAAAGACCAAGGUUUCCUGCGCAACGUUAAUCGACGCAGGGUUAGUCGGUCCCUAAGGCGAGGCUGAAAAGCGUAGUCGAUGGAAAACAGGUUAAUAUUCCUGUACUUCUGGUUAUUGCGAUGGAGGGACGGAGAAGGCUAGGCCAGCUUGGCGUUGGUUGUCCAAGUUUAAGGUGGUAGGCUGAAAUCUUAGGUAAAUCCGGGGUUUCAAGGCCGAGAGCUGAUGACGAGUUACCCUCUGGGUGACGAAGUGGUUGAUGCCAUGCUUCCAAGAAAAGCUUCUAAGCUUCAGGUAACCAGGAACCGUACCCCAAACCGACACAGGUGGUUGGGUAGAGAAUACCAAGGCGCUUGAGAGAACUCGGGAGAAGGAACUCGGCAAAUUGGUACCGUAACUUCGGGAUAAGGUACGCCCUUGUAGCUUGAUGCGCCUGCGCGCAAAGGGUGAAGGGGUUGCAAUAAACUGGUGGCUGCGACUGUUUAAUAAAAACACAGCACUCUGCAAACACGAAAGUGGACGUAUAGGGUGUGACGCCUGCCCGGUGCCGGAAGAUUAAAUGAUGGGGUGCAAGCUCUUGAUUGAAGUCCCGGUAAACGGCGGCCGUAACUAUAACGGUCCUAAGGUAGCGAAAUUCCUUGUCGGGUAAGUUCCGACCUGCACGAAUGGCGUAACGAUGGCCACACUGUCUCCUCCCGAGACUCAGCGAAGUUGAAGUGUUUGUGAUGAUGCAAUCUACCCGCGGCUAGACGGAAAGACCCCGUGAACCUUUACUAUAGCUUUGCA